rnacentral:sRNA from 1 species
ACUCAACGUUAAUUCUUUAAAAAGGGUGAGUUGAAGUUGUAAAACCGUGCUGCUAGUGCUGUUCAUGCUAAACUUGUUUUAGUAUUCCAGUAUUUUAGGCAGAUUUUUGAUCAGCUUGUUAGCCCUAAACUUGUUUUUAAGGAGUUU